rnacentral:sRNA from 1 species
UACAGAAAAAUAAAUAAGCUAGUAAGACUCAAUAACUUAUGAAAGAUGAAAGAUAGGGCAUCUAAUGAAACUUAGACUUUGUUUGCUAGAGUGAAAGGGAGCACAUGGGGCCUGAAUAUUCAAUAGUCACGUGUAGUUUAUAAAGGGUACAAAGUAUUUCACACACAAGUGCACAGAAAUAGAAUUUGAGAACCCAGAAGACUCUGCCAUUGUCUCUGCUGAAACACAGUAUGUCUUCCUAAAGUCUCAUUGACUCUUUGAUCAAGGACAAUCUCAAGAAAAAUUAUUCUUGAUCACUUGAUCUGUGAUCCAGAUGACCUCAUUAAAUUUUUCGGUUUUUUUUUCACACAGGCAUAGCAGGUGGGUCUUCCUACAUUUUUUUCCUGCUGGAAGACACCACAGAGAAGCUCAAAGUGCCAUACCAUCAAGUGUAGCCCAGUGUUUAAGACAUGGUCCUUCUCUGUCAGGCUAGCCAGCAAUUCUUCCUUAUUAAAGAUGUCAACUCUCUGACUUGCAGUUCAUCAUAAAGGUGCCAUAGAGCAACAGAGUAAAACAAACUAGCCAAAAAAAUCUAUCUACCCAACAAGAUGAAGCUGUUGAUAUUUUUUUGAAAAUGGGUAAACUGAACAGUUUUUAAUCCAGCUAACAGACACAUUAACUUGUUAUUACAAAACAAAGUCUAUCCAAAGACUAUUCAAAGUAAAAUAUUUAUGUAAGGUAUCUAUAAACACAAUGUUUGAAGAAUAUCUCCAAAGAAGGGUGGUUAGUAUUUCUAAUUUAUAAAGAUAAAUAUAUGUAAUUAUCACAGAGAAAACACUUUAGACAUGAUACAAAUCUUCUAAUACACUAAAACUUCCCACAAAUGUAUCAAAAUUCCCGUGUAAACAGGUUCCUAUAUCAGAAAUAACUUUUAAGCAUCGAGACCUCAGAGAUCAGUGGGAUGAGUCCUGAAGAGAGACAAUCAGCCUAAGAUGUACAAAGUUCAAGUUAAAUAAACAACCUUACAACCAUGUUAAUGUUCAAAAAGUAACUAAAAUGGCAUAAUACUACACUGUUGUCUUACAGUAGACAAAGCGGCAGGAGUCUGAGGCAGAAAGCCCUAUCAAGGCAAUAGAAACAUUCACCAUCAUCUUCAUCCUUCCCAUUCAGAAUACAAUGUUUAAAACAUUCACAUUACCAAUGUUUAGUCAUACAAAUCGAACAUCCAGCCUGUGAGCUUCUUUGAUUUUGACAAUAUUUCCCGUGUGUCUCAUUGCAGAACUUCAAAUAACCAGCACCAUUUCGAACUUUUUUCCAGUGAAAGGGAAAAAAAACUUCAUGAUUUUUGAGGGGUCUUUUGGAGAUGUGACCAGUUUUAGGGGCUAAUGAAGCUAAUCUAAUAAUGUACUUGACAGAAAUAUCGGUUGGUUUGUUAAAGGUCACCAGACACCAACUGCAGACAUGUCUCUGUACUUUUCCCAUUCUUUGUUUGGCCAGCUCAUGUGAAACUGCUUACUGUGUAUGCAAAGCCACAAACCAACACUUCCUGUCAAUACGUUCCUGUUAUCUCAGAAUUUGGUGGUAUUUCCUGGCCUUUAGGAAAUACCCUCAUUUCUACCUCUCACUUCCCCACUUAAAAAACCCAAGAGCUAUAAAAUUUUGCCUUCCUAUCCUUUCCAUGAGACAUUUGUGAUUUAAGCUUUAAGAGUCUUUGUUGGAUGAUUCUCUCCUCCUCCUAUUGUAAUAGACUUCUUAAUAAAACAUUUCCAUGUUCAUGUCAUGAUUGGAUGGUUUACUAUCGUAGUAAUGACUUGAAGAAAAUGCUGGCUGCCCUUCGACUGUCAUUUUUCUACAACUUGCUGUGACUUGGACAGGAUGCUGACUUCCAUCCUGCUCUCUUCACCCAAGUGACGAUGCCACCUUAUUGAACCUUUGAAACCUGACUUGGAAAGCCAAAUCAAAAACGGCCUUCAAAGGAGGUGGAUAAUGAAAGAAAGAGCCUCAAAUCCAAGCCAGCACGAUCAGUGAACAUCUGAGGGUAGAGUGUAAAAUAGAGAACAUUCUAAGAUCUCACUUUGUGAAAAGCAGACAGCUCAUCAUUACAUCAGCCCAGUAGUCCACUAAUGCAUCAUGCAUGUGAGAGCAGCCAGUCUGAGGACUAUGAGUUUCUCCAAGGAAGAUCAAGGAUAAGGAUGUGCUGAAAGGAAGAAAUGGUGACUUGUUUCCAGCAUAAUUUUACUGUACGCUUUCUUAAAUAAGAGCAUAAGUCCGAUUGGGCUCAAAAUGUUAAGACCAUCCCUCCAAAAGACAAAUGAAUUGUCAAUGUUCCUUUGUGAAUAUUCAUUCGGUAAAAUUAUUUCUACAUUUAUGUACAUUUUUAUUUACACAAUUUACCACUACAGAAUCAUUUCAUAAUACGUGUUCUGAAUCAAAAGUAAAUCAAUAAAAUUUAGUGUCUCCCUUCAAGGACAUCAUAGUGUACAACAAAGAGAAAACAUUUAUGUGAAGAAUGGAAGAAAUGGAGCAGAGGUGAGGACGAGGGAUUUGAACUGAGUUGAAGUCUGUGCUCUGAAUCCACCAACUAUGAUAGCAGGGUUGCCUUAUUUGAAGUAGUGAGAACCCAAGAAGAGUAUUUUCCCACCUACAGACUGAAGAAUACUCUUCUCAACCUCCAAGUAAAUAAACCACACUUAGCAAUGCACUGAACGCUUUCAUCUGCAAGAAAAAAGUUCCAGACUACUAGCCUUAGGCACAUUGAAAGCAUCAUGGCACCAUACCUUUGAGUCUUCUGUGUUAAAGAUGUAGGCCAUAGGAAGAAUUCAUUAUGUGUACCACAUAAUGAUGAUCUCACAAAAGAAAAAAACUGCACUUAAUGAUAUUUGGCUACAUAGCGAGAUGCCUGAAUACUCUGGGGCUAGUAAAAUCUGGCUCAGUUAUUCUAACACAGUGGGCUGAAAUACGCAACAGCUAGGGGGAAACAGGCUUCUAGGUGUGCAAUAGCCGGUGACUGACAUUGAUCUGCACUGAAUCUGAGCAUAGGGAGCCUGACAAAAUAGAACAGUGGAAGGUGGCAAACAUAUGAGAAAGGAGUAUGGACUUAGUCGGUAGAGACACUUUAGAAGGUAUCUGUCUUCAUUUCAUAACACGCCCAACAGCUGGAGGCCUACCUCUUCCUGGAAAUAAAGGUUAACCCUACCCCUUUCUGAGGUCAACAUGUCUGCACAGCCUUCUAGCUCAGGAGCACUUCUGGGUUACUUUUUUUAAGCAUGUAAAUUUCCUUAUAAUUAUGGAAUAGUCCUAACUCCCAAUCUCACUCCAAUUUGCCAAUAAAAGGACAGCCCAGUUCACUAAUUAGCAGGAGACUAAGUGGUAGAAUUAUUCUUAUAAACCUAUAUCCAUCCUAACUCUCCCUCACUUUGAGUAUAAAAAGGGAGGCUAGGGAGAAUUGUUAGUACUUGGGAGAGACACAGAGACAUUGUGAACCCAGCCUGAAAAAUCAAUUAAGAAAAAGAAGACAGUUUGAGUGAGAUUCUGGUUUUCCUCAGCAGUCAGUGAAGGGUACCCCUGUUAUUGAUAGACUGCUAUGGGGCUGCUGUGCCUCCAUGAGCUCAUGUAGUCCAGUGCUGGCAUCCUGGAAGUGUAUAAGUUAAUAAUGAUGCCCAGUAAUGCUGCAUACAAGAUUUUUGACAUCUUCACACUGGGACUAAUAAUCUCUUGCUUUUCUUAAAGCAUUCCCAGUACCAUGUUAUUUUGGAACAUACUACUCAAAUCUGGAAUGGUAGCACAGGCUGUUGUUUUCUAAAUAAUUCUCUGGUUUUAGAUUCUGAAUAUCCUCAUCUUCAAAACAUUCUUAGCAGUGCUGGAGUCGAGUUCCAACACAAACUUGUCAAUAAUCUAUGUGGGCUGCUUGACGCUUCAUCCCAAACAAAUACAUAGUUCUGCAGUCAAUACUUGUGGAGGUAAAACAAAAUUAGUUUGUGAUAUGCCAUCAUUACUCAGUAUUGUUUAUAAGCAAUAAAAAUUUGGCUCAAUAGAAAC